rnacentral:lncRNA from 1 species
GAGUGUAUGUGCACCCAAAAAUAUAAUGGCUAAUGGCAGUAGGGUUUCCCAUGUUCUUCAGAACAUUAUGAGGCGCCUCCCUUUGUCUUUAAUAAUUCAAUGGUUAAUUAGAAAUUAAUCCUAGACCCUAUGUAAUGUGUCUUAGAACAAUAAUAUAUCUAACAAAAUGGUUAAUCUUUUUCGAGGUUCCCGUCUGAAUUUCCCUUCGGGCUCUCCAACAUAUCACCUGAUUAAUUAUGUAAGAAAAAGAAUCAAAUAAUAUCUGGUCAUUGAGAGCCAACAUAGUUUUCACUCUAUCGGCACUGAUCGAGUGGUAGCCUUCUUUUUCAGCGGUUUUACUCACCUAUAACCUUAAUCCAGCCCAUAUGUAGCUCUUUCUUUGGCCUAGAUCUCAAUGAAAACACCAAUUGUUAGGAGUUAAGUAUAUGAGGAGAGCCUAACUAAAAAUACUAGUUAGUAAAUCUUAGGUUCAAUUAUGCAUGUUAUC